CUGCAGACAGAUUUUGAGGCCAAAAAGUAAGAAGUCCUUGAAGCUGUGUGUUUUGAUGAAAUGAUAUUUGUAGGAGGAGGGUGGCUAGGGACAAAGAACUGAGGACAUUAAACAUUUAAGGGCUGGAUGGAGACAGAGAAUGAGAAAAAUAGAUGGAACCAAACUCAGAGUGGUGGGUUCCAAACAGGUAGGAGUGGUGCUACAGAAUAGUCUAGGGCCAGGGGCCACAUUUCACUCAGUUUCUCACUAACCUUGUGACCAUGAGUGAUUUACCCAACCUCUCUCUGCUUCCCUUUUUUCAUCUUUGAAAUGGGAUGAUAACAGCAUCCUCAGAAGAUUGUUGAGAGGAAAAUGGCAUAUAUAAGGGGUCAGCCCUCAAAAGUAUCAGUGACCAGACUAAGAGGCACUGGAGCAGGGUCCAUUCUCCCUGACCAGGGUACUGGACAAAGGCUUGCCAAAACUGACGACCUAAAUCCAAUCACAGCCUAAAGAGAGACCUAGCCUGACCCCGUGUCCUCACCUAAUGAAGAGUCUGUUCUUAUUGGGAGAAUUGUGUUCCCUUGAGGGUUCUUGGGUCCCUCACCUGUAUCCCCUCACCAAAAUCUGAUUAUAUCUAAUGGCCUUGUUCCACCUGCCUCCUACUCCAUCAUCUCUAGUGAUGUUGUCUGCUGUGGCCAGAAGGCUGACAGGGAACAAAUGGGGCACUCUCUGCUCCAGUGGGUCAAGUUAUUAGGAUUUAACAAGGGCAAAUUAAUUAAGGGCUUUGGCACCAAAAAGCAUACAUACAUUUUUUACUCUGCAGACCUAAGAGGUUGGUCAUCAAAAUUUCAACACUGCAAAAAUGAGGGCCUCAUUGUUAUCAUGUCUGUUUUUUACUUGUAAGUUUUUCACUCCAGGGGAAGGAAGGAGAGGAAUGUUUCUGAAUUACUUUAAAAC
rnacentral:lncRNA from 1 species